GGGAGGCAGGAGGCAUCUAUUAUGCAUGCACAGCACAUCCUAGUUUGCAGACUGUGUCCAUCUAUUCCUUCCUGCUUGCCCUCAUCUACCCCAUGAUUGCCAUCCACAUUUGCCUGUUGAGGUGACUGAGGUUUGCACAGGCCCAGUGUUGGGUAGAUGUAUAUUCUCACCAGAUAAGGAGAACCGAAAGUAAAAAGCCUUUCAUGGAGGAAUGGUUUUAAUGGCCCCACAAAGGGCUCAACCCAGCGCACCACGAAUUUGUGAUAACGUCCCGUGUUGGGUGAGCUGAACCUUCCUGCCUGGGGAGCUGAUGCCAUCUGCCCAUUUAUUGACAGCCUUGUCAGCAAAAAUCUGGAUUCUGAGGGUUGGCAGGCAGCCAGGCUGCUUUCCACUGUCUAUCCAGCGUCUUAGUAACAGAUGUGGCGCUCAUGCCUGGGGCUGCAGUUGGCUAAUCGCUGUAUGCGUGUGCUAUUUAUCGGGGGUGGAGGGACGGCAUGAAGGGAUACGUGUUUUCCAGGAAGGAAUUUGUAUUCCUUUCCAGGUUCUCUUUUUCAGAUUUAAAAAAAAAGCAACUGACUUUUCAAAAUGUGAAAGAAUCAGCUUAUUGUUCAACAUUAGGAAAAAAAAAAAUCAUUCCAAACCAUGUGAACAUUUGUUCAAUGCUUUUGUUGAAAUCACAAGUUACGCAAGUUUUGCGGACUUGAGUAUUGGCUCUACAAGUCAUUUUCUGUAUUGUCCCCUUGUCCUUGAAAGAUGUUUUUUAAUUGCACUGUAAUACAAAAGCAAGAUUUGGGAGUUUUUUGGUUUUUGGUUUUUUUUUUUUUUUUACAAAUAAUGCUUCAGUCGGUGUUACCUUAUCCCCAGUCAAUGGAAAUCAAUCAGACUGUUUACUGAAUGAAUCAAGAAUAAAUGCAUGACUCAGAGAAGAGGUAAUUUGUACGUCCUUGAGAAAAGGAAUUUUUCUGGCAGUACCUUUACUUUGAAAGUAGAAAACAAGAGAAAAGGAAGACUUGGACAGAAACAAAUAGCAGCUUCUCUCCAGAGCUGUGACACACAUCCUGACCAGGCAUUCCAAG